AACUUGCCUCACUCCUUCCAUAUAAUUUGUUGGGCGGUGUCAAAAACCUAAGUUAACAUGUCUUACCGUUAAUUUGAAACGUUGCUUGCACUACAUUGCUUGAAAGGUGAACGUACAAGGCGGUGAUUCUUGCAGCACGGUUAAUUUGGAAGAAACACCGGUUAGCAAAGUAGGAGCUAAGCGGCUGACUGACCGUAUUGAGUCCCUUGAUGCUCUUCGAGAUGAGAUUGGCGAUGCAUCUAUUACAAAGCCAGCCAAAAUGGUCCGUGUGAAGAUUGAGCCUAAAGAAAUGAGAUUGAUGCAUAAUGUGGAUCGUAAUUGCACCCGUAAUUAGUUGAAGUAUUGUUGCAGACUACUUUUAGUUUUUAAGCUGAACUAAGUGUUUUUACACAUGGCUAUAUUUUGACCCUUAGCGUUAUUGUUGUCGUGUAUUUCGUUGUUUAACAUUCUAUGCUGUUCGGACCAUGAUCUUUUUUAAUUAUUAUGUUUUCUUUUUUUCAUGAAUUGAAUACUCAGAAGUUAUGAAUGCACUAUAUAAUAUCAAGCGGAUAGAUAUAACUUAAACACCAUUACAAUCAAAUUUGAUCUAAACUAAUCGAUUGAGGAGGUGUAGAAGAAAACAAUUCACCAUGAUUUGUGUUGUCAGUUUUUGUAAAAGCUAAAGUAAAUUAUAGUAUG